GGCGAGGUAGCUCAGAAGGUUAGAGCGUCGGAUUCAUAACCCGAAGGUCGGCAGUUCAAUCCUGCCUCUCGCCA
rnacentral:tRNA from 1 species